UUUUCAUUUCAAUUCGGUGGUUUGCUUUCCUCACCCUCACCCUAACCCUAACCCUAACCCUAACCCUAAGAAUCUUCCGUACUUUAGAGUCCAUUUUAAUGCGAUGGUUUGCUAUAGUUUAGGAUUUAGGAUUAGAGUUAUAGUUGUAACAAUUUUAAAGAUUAGACAUGUUCCCUCCUCAAUCAUCAUGUUUGCUUCUUGCAAUGGAGAAGCCAAACUGAAAUGAGUGGUCUCGGAAAAAAAUGCCACAAUGCCGCUCUUGAAAAGAUAGUGGAAUUAAUCGAGUUCCUCAAGGAAAAAAUGAGAGCUCUGAAGAUAGAACAUGAGCCGUAGAUUUUAAAGGGAGCUGGAGCUGGAGCUGGAGCUGGAGCUGGAGCGACGGACGGAUCGGAAGGAAAGCAAGGGAGCGGGACAGGGAUUGGGAAGAGCGGCGGACGGAGGUAAUGCGUGGAAUUCUGUUAUGAGUUGGUUUGUGUUUGAAAAACAUGAUAAUGUUGUGAACUGGUAAUGAAAAAGAUAAUUGCAGGAGACCCCUUGAAAACGAAGUUUGGAAAAUCUAGCAUACCAUUUGUUUGCCACUGAAUUUUUGACAUACCAUUAUCACUUUUAUAUAAUCACAUUUAAAUCAAAGUAGGACCCUAUUGAUUAACCUUAAGAAAUAUUUGACAAAAUUCAUAACUACAUGGUUCAUUGUUUA